AUUGAACGCUGGCGGCAUGCCUUACACAUGCAAGUCGAACGGCAGCAUAGGAGCUUGCUCCUGAUGGCGAGUGGCGAACGGGUGAGUAAUAUAUCGGAACGUGCCCUAGAGUGGGGGAUAACUAGUCGAAAGACUAGCUAAUACCGCAUACGAUCUACGGAUGAAAGUGGGGGAUCGCAAGACCUCAUGCUCCUGGAGCGGCCGAUAUCGGAUUAGCUAGUUGGUGGGGUAAAAGCCUACCAAGGCGACGAUCAGGAGCUGGUCUGAGAGGACGACCAGCCACACUGGGACUGGGGCACGGCCCAGACUCCUACGGGAGGCAGCAGUGGGGAAUUUUGGACAAUGGGGGCAACCCUGAUCCAGCAAUGCCGCGUGAGUGAAGAAGGCCUUCGGGUUGUAAAGCUCUUUUGUCAGGGAAGAAACGGUAGUAGCUAAUAUCUAUUGCUAAUGACGGUACCUGAAGAAUAAGCACCGGCUAACUACGUGCCAGCCGCCGCAGUAAAAC
rnacentral:rRNA from 1 species